CUAGCGGUAUGCCUAACAGAUGCCAGUCGAACGGGGAAGCAAUUCCUAGUGGCGAAGUGGCGAGGAGAACGCAGGAAUUUGCCUUCAAGAAGAGGAUAACUUUUAGAAACAAAGGCUAAAACUCUAUAUGCCCGCAAGGGUGAAAAAAGCAAUUUGCUUGAAGAGAAGCCUGCGCCUGAUUAGCUAGUUGGUGGGGUAAAGGCCUACCAAGGCGACGAUCAGUAGCUGGUCUGAGAGGAUGAUCAGCCGCACUGGGACUGAGACACGGCCCAGAUUUCUACGGAAAGCAGCAGUGAGGAAUUUUCUGCAAUGGGCGAAAGCCUGACAGAGCAAUACCGCGUGGAGGAUGAAGGCGUACGCGUUGUAAACUCCUUUUCCCAGGGAAGAAGAUCUGACAUUAUCUGGGGAAUAAGCAUCGGCUAACCCUGUGCCAGCAGCCGCGGUAAUACAGGGGAUGCAAGUGUUAUCCGGAAUCAUUGGGCGUAAAGCGUCUGCAGGUGGAUAGAUUAGUCUUUUGUUAAAUCUCAGGGCUUAACUCGGAGCUUGCAAAAGAAACUCUCUAUCUUGAGUUAAGUAGAGGGAAAGGGAAUUUCCAGUGGAGCGGUGAAAUGCGUAGAGAUUGGAAGGAACACUCAACAGCGAAGGCACUUUUCCUGGGCUUGAACUGACACUCAGAGACGAAAGCUAAGGGAGCAAACUCGGAUUAGAUACUCGGGUAGUCUUAGCUGUAAACGAUGAAUACUAAGUAUUGCUUUUCUUUACGGAAGGCAGUGCUGUAGCUAACGCGUUAAGUAUUCCGUCUGGGUAGUAUGCUCGCAAGAGUGAAACUCAAGAAUGACGGGGGUCUCGCACCAGCGGUGGAGCAUGUGGUUUAAUUCGAUGCACACGAAGAAUCUUAC
rnacentral:rRNA from 1 species